CAACCUGGUUGAUCCUGCCAGUAGUCAUAUGCUUGUCUCAAAGAUUAAGCCAUGCAUAUCUAAGUAUAAGCCCUUGUACGGCGAAACUGCGAAUGGCUCAUUAAAACAGUUAUCGUUCCUUUGAUAAUCACUUACUACAUGGAUACCUGUAGUAAUUCUAGAGCUAAUACAUGCGUCAUUGCCCGACUUCACG
rnacentral:rRNA from 1 species